rnacentral:lncRNA from 1 species
GUAAAUCUGUAAGCUUUUAAUGGUAAAUAUGAUUAUAUGUGAAAUAUGUGUAGGAGUAGUUAAGAUAUAUAUUGUUGUCCGUAUAUGUAUAUAUAAUAGAAAGUGUGUUACAUACAUAUAAAUUAUAUGUACAAUGGAUACGCGAACAAGUCUGUAAGUAUAGAAAUAUGAGAAUACAUAUGUUUGUAAUUGGUGUUUGAGUUUCUAAAGUUAAGAUAUGAAAUAGAG